UAUAGGCAAAAUGUUUGCUAUUAUUUCAAACAUACAGUUGAGAGUCUCCACUGAAAGUGUAAAACAAUUCAUCUGUAGAUGUUCCUCAAAAUAAUCGAGAUUUCAUUAGAUUGAAAACUUCCACGUCUGUUUCGUAAUCCUAGAGACUGUAGACAAAUUAGUUGUAAUAUUUAUUUCAUGAACACCAAUAAUAUCAGCAGAAUGGAGGGUGGUGGCGGUUUAAUUAUUAAUAAUUAUAUUUAGAGUUGUCUAUUUAAUAUCUGGUUAAUACAAUCGUUCCAACUGUUUAUUCAGAUGGCUGAACUCACCCUGUAGCUGGAUCCACUUACCCCUACUCUCUUAAAAAUAAAGCUUCUUUAAUGGUUCAUUACACCAUCGUGGGUUCUGCAAAGAACCUUCUUCUAGUCAAGAACCAUUUUUAUUGUACUGUAUAGGGUUCUUGAGUUGAUCUGUAUGGUUCUUUGGAGAUUAAAGAAGUUCUUUAGGGUUUAUUAUAGGUUCUUCAGAGCAGUGUAUUGGUUCUUCAAGGUGUCAUCCCUUGAAGCAGGUUCAAGUAAACCUGGUUCUUUGUGGGACUGGAAAAGGUUCUCCUGGACUUGGAAUCCUGGACACAUCCAGAACUUGCAUUAGUUUCAUUUGUGUCUCACAAAAACGGCUCAUCUUACCCCACCCUCUCCUGUUCCACAAGUAGGGUGUGUGUUUUUAUUUUUCAGGUGAUUUCUCAGGGGAAUAUUCUUCAUCAUUUCACAUGUGCAAUUUGGGGUGAUAACAUGUUGAAAUGUACCUUUAAUUCUUUUCCAAGUCGGAACAGAUAAUCACAUGUAUUUAAAAAAAAAAAAAGUCUCCUGUAAUAGUCAUAACGAUUUUCCCGUUUAAGAUCAUGUGACAUGUCGAGUCCACUGAGUUUCGUUUUCCUUUCCUCCCUCCUCGUGAAGUUGCGCAACAUGUUUCCAUUAAAAGCCUGAGAUCUCACUGAGCCUGCUGAAAGGAGGAACAUGGCAGAGAACCGGGUGAGGGACAUGUACGAGGGAGUAAACCCAACUAAAAUGACUGAACAAGAGAAAAAAGCGCACAUAGCGAGAACUCUUCAUGAAAACCCAGAUGUUCUGUUUAGAAUAUAUUGCCAGGGCAGACUGCAUAUGGUCCUCUUGAGGCCAACUAACCCUGGGGAGUGGACGAGGGUGAUUCUGAGCAGGAUCACAACCAACCUGUCUUUUCAGAUGACUAAGAAACGUGGCGUAAACGACAUCUUCAAAAUCACCAUGUCUGGUACUCAAGAGGAGCUUGGACGUCUCUGUGAUGAUUUUGAUCGGCUCUAUGUCGAGGUCAUGACAAACAGUCAGGAUGGAGGAGCAGCAGCACAGAGGAACCCAGAGGAUGAUGUUGAGGAGCUCAGAGCGAGAAUCAAAGAGCUGGAGCUGGAGAACAAGAAGCUUCAGAAGCGGUAGAUGUGAGUUCAAACCAGGAUGUGUCCUAGUGAGGUCCAAUCCAAGCCCCAUAUACCUACUGCUGGUCUCCUUUCAUCACUGCAGUGGGAGUGGAUGAAGUUGUGCAUAAAUAUAUUAUUAGAACUAUAUUAUUAACUGUCAUUUUCAAAAUCCCUACGCCGAAUACUGAAAAAUGUCCUACGCAUACCAGAUCAUCUGAUACGUAUACUUCAUCCUUUUAUUUCUAGAAGAGACGAAUAUUCGUUUAGCUAAGACUCAGCACUAGAUUCCCAGAUAGCAGACUAACACUGAAUCAACAUUGAAUCAACACUGAAUCAAAACUGAAUCAAUACUGAAUCAACACUGAAUCAACACUGAAUCAACAUUGAAUCAACAUUGAAUCAAUACUGAAUCAAAACUGAAUCAACACUGAAUCAACAUUGAAUCAAUACUGGAUCAACGUUAAUGCAUCAACCAUAUUAUCAUUGAGUCAGUGUUGAAAUUUGAAAUUAGAUUUUUUAUCAGAUUUGCACAUUGAAACGAUGAAAAACAGAUCAAGACGGACAAAAUAUAUAUCAAUAUUUGUUCAACUAGAUGGAAGGGUCAUGAGGUCACAAAAUGAACAGGAUUCAUCCUAUGAGGAGCACAAAUAUGCUCACUAAAUUUCAUGGAAACGCAUCCAGUUGAUUUGCGUUGUGUUGAAUGAGGGGACAUUAAAUCUAAGCCCCACCAGUGGGGAAAUGAAGCUGACCAGAAAAUCAACACUGAUUCACUGUUUGUCUUUUCAACACUGAAUCAACACUGAAUCAACACUGAUUCACUGUUUGUCUUCUCAACGCUGAAUCAACACUGAUUCACUGUUUGUCUUCUCAACGCUGAAUCAACACUGAUUCACUGUUUGUCUUAUCAACACUGAAUCAACACUGAAUCAACACUGAUUCACUGUUUGUCUUCUCAACACUGAAUCAACACUGAUUCACUGUUUGUCUUCUCAACACUGAAUCAACACUGAAUCAACACUGAAUCAACACUGAUUCACUGUUUGUCUUCUCAACACUGAAUCAACACUGAAUCAACACUGAUUCACUGUUUGUCUUUUCAACACUGAAUCAACACUGAAUCAACACUGAUUCACUGUUUGUCUUUUCAACACUGAAAAGCUAAUGAAUUAUCAACGUUGAUUCAAUAUUAUUUAGUACUGAAUAUUCAACCUCAACCAAAAUGAUGAUUCUGAUGGAAUUUCAACAUUGAAUCAAUGUCAUCUUGCUAUCUGGGUUUAAUCUGACUCAUGCAUUAUGUAUAUGUUUGUUUGUUUGUUUGUUUGUUUGCUAUAAAGUCUUAACAGCCUUCAUGCUGUUAUAUCACCUAGAAAUAGAAUUAAAACCUCUAUUUUAUUUAUUUCAUUGUAUUUUAGAAUAUAUUUUCCAAGUACUUUUUCUUACAUUUAAUGAACAUUUAAUAACAUUUAAUGUUUAUUUUAAUAAAGAGUUAAUAAAGUGACUUUUAUAACGAU